GGUCGAGUUCUCUGCAAUGCGCGAAAGCGUGACAGGGGGAUUCCGAGUGCUUAUGCAUUAGCAUUGGCUUUUGCCAAGUGUAAAUAGCUUGGCGAAUAAGGGGUGGGCAAGACCGGUGGCAGCAGCCGCGGUAAUACCGGCGCCCCGAGUGAUGGUCACUUUUAUUGGGCCUAAAGCGUCCGUAGCUGGUUUGAUGGGUCUUUGGUGAAAUCCAUGCGCUUAACGUAUGGGCGUGCCAGAGAAACUUUCAAGCUAGGGAUUGGGAGAGGUAGGGAGUACUGCUGGGGUAAGGGUAAAAUCUUAUAAUCCCAGCAAGACUACCAGUGGCGAAGGCGCCCUACCAGAACAAGUCCGACAGUGAGGGACGAAAGCUGAGGGAGCAAACGGG
rnacentral:rRNA from 1 species